rnacentral:rRNA from 1 species
CACCGCGGUUAUACGAGAGACCCAAGUUGACAGACAAUCGGCGUAAAGAGUGGUUAAGUAACACAUUACACUAAAGCCAAACACCUUCAAAGCUGUUAUACGCACCCGAAGAUCAGAAGCCCAAUCACGAAAGUGGCUUUAAAUUAACUGAACCCACGAAAGCUAGGACA